AAUAAAAAUCAUAAUAAAUCAAUGGAUUUUGAUUUUAUUAACCUACUAUAUAACUAGCGAGAGGUCAUGGGUUCAAUUCCCGCCUUAGGCAGUUUUUAUUUUAAUCUGAAGUUUCUAAGAUGUUGCUAAGAAAUAAUAUUUACGAAUAUGCAAAUUUUCAUGUCAGUAAUAGCAUUCAAAACAUUUUCCCUCCGCUCCGCUCCUCUCCGCUCCGCUCCUCUCCUCUCUGCUCCGCCUUAAUGGUGGAAACCGGCCCUUACUUAAAGUAAGUAUUUUUAAAUGAUCGAUUCAGAUAAUUGUAAUGAAAAAAAAAAUCUAAUAAUAAUAAUUUAUCUUUCAAAAUGUUCCAACAAUAUACUUCUAACAUCCCUUUUUAAUAAAAUAAAAUGUCCAGAGACAUUAAUAAUGUGUGUGUGAAUAAUCAUCGGAAGCCGUCGGAAGGCGUUAUCCAUACUACCUUGACCCAUUUUGGCCAUUUUUGUCUGAUUUUGUUAGCAUUUAUCUCAUAAAUUUUCUUAGAAAUCCAUUGAAACCUUGCAAGAUGUUAUGUUCAGAUUAAACCUAGGUAAAUCUUGUUUCUGGAAAAUGUAACUUUUACUUACGUUAUCAGUUCUAAACAUACAGAAAUCCAUGUCUUGUAACUACCGAUUUGUAAGCAAAAAAACAGACCCAUUUUUGUUUAUCUCUCAUUUAAAUUCCAUUGUAAUUACAAAUGAACCACUUAUAUCCUCGUCUAGCUGAUAUACUCAAGUUACUGUAAACAUCUGUUUCAACACUCUAAAGCCUUGGUUCUAUCGAAUAAAUAUUUUUAUGUCGACCUCAGUUUUGAUGGUACUCUGAGUACCUACUUAGUUUUUCUAUGAAAGUUUCAAACAUGUUUUGUUGAAGAUAUUUGUAUGAAGAGGGUUGGUUUUUUGUAUCAAAUCUGUUAAAAUGUGUGUUGGGGAUUAAAUGAAAUACAUAUUACAGUCAAAUAUUAGUUUUUAUUACAAAAAUCCUUAAAACUAAGUUUAAAUUUUCGUCACAAUUAUUUGGUGUAGUAUACAAGCUUUAUUAUAACAUUUCUGUUGGAAAAACUUAUUAAAAUAGUACCAUAAAGUAAUAUUUAGUAUUCAGUAAAAAUUUGAUUGUUAUAGAUUUCUACUUUUGUUAUUAGGUUCUCAAAAUUAAAGUUUCGUAUCUCCGUCUCGGAUUUGAUAGUAACAUGAUUAACUUUGUUAAAUUUAAAGUGUUCGAAUUUAACCUUUCUCUAACCUUGAUUUUGUUGGAUGUAUAAUUCAUAUUUUCUUUUAAAACAGGGGUUCUUGGCGACCCAUCUGAACUUCUCUUCAAACUUCCAUCUUGCUUGGAAAUUACUGGUUUUAUAAGGCUUGGCGAAAAUGUUUUACACAGUGCUUCAGGUUCAUCGACAUUUUUUACUUUUAUUAUCGGAACUGCAGAAAUAUAUU